rnacentral:rRNA from 1 species
CGGGUACUCGAGAUGGCGAACGGGUGAGUAACACGUGGGUGAUCUGCCUUGCACUUCGGGAUAAGCUUGGGAAACUGGGUCUAAUACCGGAUAGGACAGCUGUUUAGUGUCAGUUGUGGAAAGUUUUUUCGGUGCAAGAUGAGCUCGCGGCCUAUCAGCUUGUUGGUGGGGUAAUGGCCUACCAAGGCGUCGACGGGUAGCCGGCCUGAGAGGGUGUACGGCCACAUUGGGACUGAGAUACGGCCCAGACUCCUACGGGAGGCAGCAGUGGGGAAUAUUGCACAAUGGGCGGAAGCCUGAUGCAGCGACGCCGCGUGGGGGAUGAAGGCCUUCGGGUUGUAAACUCCUUUCGACAGGGACGAAGCGUAAGUGACGGUACCUGUAUAAGAAGCACCGGCUAACUACGUGCCAGCAGCCGCGGUAAUACGUAGGGUGCGAGCGUUGUCCGGAAUUACUGGGCGUAAAGAGCUCGUAGGUGGUUUGUCGCGUCGUCUGUGAAAUUCCGGGGCUUAACUCCGGGCGUGCAGGCGAUACGGGCUGACUUGAGUGCUGUAGGGGAGACUGGAAUUCCUGGUGUACGGUGAAAUGCGCAGAUAUCAGGAGGAACACCGAUGGCGAAGGCAGGUCUCUGGGCAGUAACCGACGCUGAGGAGCGAAAGCAUGAGUAGCGAACAGGAUUAGAUACCCUGGUAGUCCAUGCCGUAAACGGUGGGCGCUAGGUGUAGGGGGCUUCCACGUCUUCUGUGCCGUAGCUAACGCAUUAAGCGCCCCGCCUGGGGAGUACGCCGCAAGGCUA